AUUGAACGCUGGCGGCAGGCCUAACACAUGCAAGUCGAGCGGAGCGGCGGCCGGGUGAGGAAUGCCUAGGUAUCUGCCUCGUAGUGGGGGAUGACGUCCGGAAACGGGAACGAUUACUGAAUCCUAUCAGCUUAGCCUAGGUCGGAUUAGCUAGAUGGUGGGGGAAAGGCCGACCAAGGCGACGAUCCGUAACUGGUCUGAGAGGAUGAUCAGUCACACUGGAACUGAGACACGGUCCAGACUCCUACGGGAGGCAGCAGUGGGGAAUAUUGGACAAUGGGCGAAAGCCUGAUGCAGCCAUGCCGCGUGUGUGAAGAAGGUCUUCGGAUUGUAAAGCACUUUAAGCGAGGAGGCGUUACCAACAGAAGAAGCACCGGCUAACUUCGUGCCAGCAGCCGCGGUAAUAC
rnacentral:rRNA from 1 species